AUGCAUCUCUGACAGAUCUGGAGCAGUUAAUGUCUGCUACUAAGGUUUCCACUAUAGAUGCAAGAAAAAGAAGGUCCUCAUGCUUUCUGUAUAUCUGGUUGUGGCAGCCAAGAUUGAAUGGGGGAAUACAGGA
rnacentral:snoRNA from 1 species